GAUGAACGCUGGCGGCGUGCCUAAUACAUGCAAGUCGAGCGAACGGACGAUAAGCUUGCUUUUCUGAUGUUAGCGGCGGACGGGUGAGUAACACGUGGAUAACCUACUUAUAAGACUGGGAUAACUUCGGGAAACCGGAGCUAAUACCGGAUAAUAUUUUGAACCGCAUGGUUCAAAAGUGAAAGACGGUCUUGCUGUCACUUAUAGAUGGAUCCGCGCUGCAUUAGCUAGUUGGUAAGGUAACGGCUUACCAAGGCAACGAUGCAUAGCCGACCUGAGAGGGUGAUCGGCCACACUGGAACUGAGACACGGUCCAGACUCCUACGGGAGGCAGCAGUAGGGAAUAUUCCGCAAUGGGCGAAAGCCUGACGGAGCAACGCCGCGUGAGUGAUGAAGGUCUUCGGAUCGUAAAACUCUGUUAUUAGGGAAGAACAUAUGUGUAAGUAACUGUGCACAUCUUGACGGUACCUAAUCAGAAAGCCACGGCUAACUACGUG
rnacentral:rRNA from 1 species